GGCGGAUGUAGCCAAGUGGAUCAAGGCAGUGGAAUGUG
rnacentral:tRNA from 1 species